rnacentral:rRNA from 1 species
CGAAGGGGGCUAGCGUUGUUCGGAAUUACUGGGCGUAAAGCGCAUGUAGGCUGCCAUUCAAGUCGGGGGUGAAAUCCUGGAGCUCAACUCCAGAACUGCCUCCGAUACUGUCUGGCUCGAGUGUGGAAGAGGUUGGUGGAACUGCAAGUGUAGAGGUGAAAUUCGUAGAUAUUUGCAAGAACACCAGUGGCGAAGGCGGCCAACUGGUCCAUUACUGACGCUGAGAUGCGAAAGCGUGGGGAGCAAACAGGAUUAGAUACCCUGGUAGUCCACGCCGUAAACGAUGAGAGCUAGCUGUUGGAAAGUUUACUUUUCAGUAGCGCAGAUAACUCAAUAAGCUCUCCGCCUGGGGAGUACGGUCGCAAGAUUA